UAUAUGCUCCCUCGGUCCAACAAAAGAUAUCUCAAGUUUGUCAAAAUUUGGAUGUAUCUAAACAUGACUUAAUAUAUAGAUGCAUUCAAAUUUAGUCAAAGUUAAGACAUCCUUUGUUGGACGGAGGGAGUAAUAU
rfam:Brachypodium distachyon strain Bd21 chromosome 3, whole genome shotgun sequence.